AACGUAGGUGGCGAGCGUUAUCCGGAUUUACUGGGCGUAAAGGGCGCGUAGGCGGCCAACUAAGUCGGAUGUGAAAUCCCCAGGCUUAACCUGGGAACUGCAUCCGAUACUGGAUGGCUUGAAUCCGGGAGAGGGAUGCGGAAUUCCAGGUGUAGCGGUGAAAUGCGUAGAUAUCUGGAGGAAUACCGGUGGCGAAGGCGGCAUCCUGGACCGGCAUUGACGCUGAUGAGCGAAAGCUAGGGGAGCAAACGGG
rnacentral:rRNA from 1 species